CCCUGCCGUAAACUUAGAUAUCUCAGUACAAUAGCAUAUCCGCCAGGGGACUACGAGCGCUAGCUUAAAACCCAAAGGACUUGGCGGUGCUUCAGACCCCCCUAGAGGAGCCUGUUCUAGAACCGAUAACCCCCGUUCAACCUCACUACUCCUUGCUUUUCCCGCCUAUAUACCACCGUCGCCAGCUUACCCUGUGAAGGCACUACAGUAAGCAGGAUGAGCAUUGCUCAAAACGUCAGGUCGAGGUGUAGCGUACGAAGUAGGAAGAAAUGGGCUACAUUAUCUGAACCAGAUCAUUCACGGAAAGUUGUCUGAAACGACCACUCGAAGGUGGAUUUAGCAGUAAAGGGGGAAUAGAGCGCCCCCUUGAAGCCGGCUCUGAAGCGCGCACACACCGCCCGUCACUCUCCCCGACAACUACUCACACCAAAGUAAGUAACGCAAUAUUUGUCACAAGGGGAGGCAAGUCGUAACAUGGUAAGUGUACCGGAAGGUGCACUUGGAAUAAU
rnacentral:rRNA from 1 species